rnacentral:rRNA from 1 species
UGAAUACGAGACGCUAAGGCGUCGAAGUAGUGUAUGUCAUACUUCCAAGAAAAGCUUGCACUGUCAUAGAUAAAAAACGCCUGUACCAUAACCGACACAGGUGGGUAGGUAGAGUAUACUAAGGGGCGCGAGAUAACUCUCUCUAAGGAACUCGGCAAAAUGACUCCGUAACUUCGGGAGAAGGAGUGCCUUAUUCUUAAGGUUGCAAUAACAAGAUCCAAGCAACUGUUUAUCAAAAACACAGGUCUCCGCUAAGUCGUAAGACGAUGUAUGGGGGCUGACGCCUGCCCAGUGCCAGAAGGUUAAAGAAGUUGGUUAGCAUUUGCGAAGCUGAUAACUGAAGCCCUGGUGAACGGCGGCCGUAACUAUAACGGUCCUAAGGUAGCGAAAUUCCUUGUCGGGUAAGUUCCGACCCGCACGAAAGGCGUAAUGAUUUGGAUACUGUCUCGGAGAGGGGCUCGGUGAAAUAGACUUGUCUGUGAAGAUGCGGACUACCUGCACCAGGACAGAAAGACCCUAUGAAGCUUUACUGUAACUUGAAAUUGAAAUUGGACUUUAUUCGCGCAGUAUAGGUGGGAGGCGUUGAUUAUAAUCUUGCGGGAUUAUUGGAGCCAUCAGUGAGAUACCACCCUUGUAAUGUUAGAUUUCUAACUUUGAAUCAUUAUCUGGUCAAAGAACAGUUUUCAGGCGGGCAGUUUGACUGGGGCGGUCGCCUCCUAAACGGUAACGGAGGCGUACAAAGGUUUCCUCUGAACGGUUAGAAAUCGUAUCUAGAGUGUAAAGGCAUAAGGAAGCUUGACUGUGAGACCUACAAGUCGAGCAGGGACGAAAGUCGGUCUUAGUGAUCUGACGGUACUGAGUGGAAAGGCCGUCACUCAACGGAUAAAAGUUACUCUAGGAUAACAGGCUGAUCUCCCCCAAGAGUUCACAUCGACGGGGAGGUUUGGCACCUCGAUGUCGGCUCAUCGCAUCCUGGGGCGGUAGUACGUCCCAAGGGUUGGGCUGUUCGCCCAUGAAAGCGGUACGCGAGCUGGGUUCAGAACGUCGUGAGACAGUUCGGUCCAUAUCCGGUGUAGGCGUUAAAUAUUGAGAGGAGCCUUCUUUAGUACGAGAGGACCGAGAAGGACAUACCUCUGGUGUACCAGUUAUCGUGCCAACGGUAAACGCUGGGUAGCUAUGUAUGGAGUGGAUAACCGCUGAAAGCAUCUAAGUGGGAAGCCCACCUCAAGAUAAG